rnacentral:rRNA from 1 species
AGUGAACGCUGGCGGUAGGCCUAACACAUGCAAGUCGAACGGCAGCACAGGAGAGCUUGCUCUCUGGGUGGCGAGUGGCGGACGGGUGAGGAAUACAUCGGAAUCUACUUUUUCGUGGGGGAUAACGUAGGGAAACUUACGCUAAUACCGCAUACGACCUACGGGUGAAAGCAGGGGAUCUUCGGACCUUGCGCGAUUGAAUGAGCCGAUGUCGGAUUAGCUAGUUGGCGGGGUAAAGGCCCACCAAGGCGACGAUCCGUAGCUGGUCUGAGAGGAUGAUGAGCCACACUGGAACGGAGACACGGUCCAGACUCCUACGGGAGGCAGCAGUGGGGAAUAUUGGACAAUGGGCGCAAGCCUGAUCCAGCCAUACCGCGUGGGUGAAGAAGGCCUUCGGGUUGUAAAGCCCUUUUGUUGGGAAAGAAAUCCAGCUGGUUAAUACCCGGUUGGGAUGACGGUACCCAAAGGAUAAGCACCGGCUAACUUCGUGCCAGCCGCCGCCGUAA